UUUAAGACUAAGACGUUGAUAGGUUGGGUGUGUAAGCGUAGCGAUACGUUGAGCUAACCAAUACUAAUGAACCGUGAGGCUUAACCUG
rnacentral:rRNA from 1 species